AUGUCAUUGCAUUCGUUCUCUUCUCCUUCCUAGUUAAUUUCAUUUAAUUUAAUAAACUAUAAAGCAAGAAAAUGACCACAUAUCAUCAUUUCCUUUUGCUACCCAGGAACAACGAGCGAAAGUUAUUAUGAGUUGGCCUGGAACACUCAUUUGAGCAAGAAAAAAUAAGCAACUUAAGCAGAUUAAAGGUUGAGGUUGUAAACUGUUUACAAACCUCAACCUCGAACUUUCAGCUAGAUCAAGGGUUUAAGCUGAAGCCUUCAAGAUGUGCUGCUUCAAUGGUUUAGUGUGACACUGACCACGUGAUCCACAUAAAACUACAAUUAUUUAUUUAUAGUAAACAUAAGAUAGAUUACAUGA